UACGGGGGGGGCAAGCGUUGUUCGGAAUUACUGGGCGUAAAGGGCGCGUAGGCGGUUUGCACAGUCAGAUGUGAAAUUCCUGGGCUCAACCUGGGGGCUGCAUUUGAUACGUGUAGACUUGAGUGGGGAAGAGGGUCGUGGAAUUCCCAGUGUAGAGGUGAAAUUCGUAGAUAUUGGGAAGAACACCGGUGGCGAAGGCGGCGACCUGGUCCUUGACUGACGCUGAGGCGCGAAAGCGUGGGGAGCAAACAGG
rnacentral:rRNA from 1 species